UACAGAGGUCUCAAGCGUUGUUCGGAUUCAUUGGGCGUAAAGGGUGCGUAGGCGGCGCGGUAAGUCGGGUGUGAAAUCUCGGGGCUUAACUCCGAAACUGCAUUCGAUACUGCCGUGCUUGAGGACUGGAGAGGAGACUGGAAUUUACGGUGUAGCGGUGAAAUGCGUAGAUAUUGGGAGGAACACCAGUGGCGAAGGCGGCUCACUGGACCGGUACUGACGCUGAUGCGCGAAAGCGUGGGGAGCAAACGGG
rnacentral:rRNA from 1 species